GCUCCCCAGCCUUUUGGCUAAGAUCAAGUAUAG
rnacentral:snRNA from 1 species